rnacentral:pre_miRNA from 1 species
UUUGUACUCCCUCCGUUCCGAAUUACUUGUCUUAGAUUUGUCUAGAUACGGAUGUAUCUAGCACUAAAAUGAGUCUAGAUACAUCCGUAUCUAGACAAAUUCAAGACAAGUAAUUCAGAACGGAGGGAGUACAUA